AGUAGAACACUUGAGACAUCUUGUGAAGCAGCUGAUGGAGCUCAUUCUUAGACAGUGGGCAAAUGUCUCCUCCACCCUCAGAUUUCUGUAACUGUAGGCCUGUGACCUUUUGUAACAGCAUGUGAAGAGUAGGCUCAGUCCAGUCUGUAGAUUCAUCAGUUGCCAAUCCUAUAAUGACCUCACUGGCUUUUUUUUAUUUUUUUUGACAUGGUGUAGUUUAAGUACACAG